rnacentral:sRNA from 1 species
UAAUGUAUCAUGCCUGUCCUUGUCGACUACUGAGAUUAAGAAAGUAGUUUCAUUAAAGCUUAGAAGAAACGAGGAUACCUAUACAAGAAUUUCCUACACAGAAGCAAGCCAUUAUCACACAAUAGACAGAUUGUCUACAUUAUCAACAGAAACGACUGUAGACGGUAAAGAGUCAACAUGUGGAAGGUUUCAGUUGAAAAGCCUAGCUUUUGAUAUUAAAUCAGAUUCCGCCCAGUCUAGUACUAACGUCUCAGAAUCAAAAGGUGUUUAUAGUUUUGCUCAGGUUAAGCAAGAGAUCAACGUUUAUGAAUGUAUUGCAUAAUUUUAAAGUCAGACCAUCUGCGUGUCUUUGUUUAAACUAUUGAUAUCACAAUAAAUGUAUGUUUUGUGCUUCAAUUUCUUAGAUAGAAUGCUUUCAACUGCGUUUGAAAAGAAGACUAAUUUUUGUUAAAAAGUGAAACUAUUCAUUUUUGUUUUGAAAAAGGAUAAAUAUGCACAGUAGAUAUAUACACUAAUAAAUCUAACCUAUCUCGAACAAGGGAAACAAUUUUAUUUAAAUGAUAAGGUGGUAUAAAUUGAAUUAGUCUCCUUUAUUGUUUUGUAGAAAAACAAGUUUAUAAAUAGCUAUAAAACUAUUUUCAUGAGCAACUCCCUGACACAAUGGUUGCAGUAUCGCCUUGAGGAGGCCAUAGCCCUGGAGUGCGAGUUUGUUACUCACUUUUUUUUAUAUAAAUACAAAUA